rnacentral:lncRNA from 1 species
AGAACUUCAAGUAAUCUCAAUUUAUGUUCUUUAUUUUUUACAGAUCUUAUUCUCUACAUGCAUGUUGGGUUGUAGUUCUUUGCAGUUCAUUUAAUUGGAGUGAACCAAUAUUUUUAUUUUUGUAAACUGUGUAGAGGAUUCCCAGUUUGACUUAAAUAUGUUUAAGCAUCAACUUCAGUUUAAGCCUUUAAUGUCAUAAUUCCCAACUUUCAGUUGUCUUUUUGCAAGUUACUCAACAUUAAAGCAAUUGAAGUGCACUUAAUUAAUCAUUUACUAUUUAAUUCAUGGUGUUACAGAUGGUUGUGAAAGGGAUUGCUAAAGACUUCACGAAUAAUGAAAAUAUCAACUUCGAGGAAAAUUGCCCCAACAUACCAUCUCCGGUUUGAGUUUAAGGGUUUUGAUAUUUCAACUUUUUAUUCUAUAAAAUACUUUUUUAGUUUUGAGGUUUUGAGCACAUAAGUUUCUUGGGUUUGUGUUAUAGUACUCUUAUUUGCUUACACUUGUUCACCAAUUACCGAAAAUAGAUAGCGGCAUGAUUUAGGAAUUAGACUAUUGACAAUGAUUAUGGUGACUACGUCUGCUUUAGAGAUUGAGAACGAGUGUCGAACAAAUUAAGGUAAAAACUUGGAGAUGUUAAAAUUAUUUUGGAAUUGCAUUAUUGAUAGUGAUUACACUGGCUAAGUUCUGGUUGUAUACUAUGUCUUAGAAUCUAAAUUAUCAUCAUUAUUUUUCUUUUGGGAUUUGUAGCAAAUGAUAUUGAGAUUGUCUAUGUCUUUUUCUGCUUAUGAGCAAUACGGUGUACAUUAGUACAACGUAGCAACUCUAUUGUAUUUGUGUAUUGAUUUUGGAACUAAGUGUCUCUGAUGACCUAUUUGUUUCAUUUUUCUGACUUGUUAUUAUUUUUAAAUAUGUGCAGGAAGACUACUUCUACGACCUGCCUUACAAUACUGGGUAUCAAAUUUUCGUGCUACGUUUACGAAAGACAAGGGACGAAAUUAUGAAGUGUACUCUCUCUAUAUAUGUAGAUAUAUACUUUGAUUGAAGAACUGUGGUAGUUUUAGAUGGUUAAUUGUAAAGAUAAUGAAUGAUUAUAUAGUGGAUGAUUUUAUUAAAUUAAUAAUAUUUUAGUUUUUUGUAUGUUUGCCAUUAUUUGCUAUGGAGACAUUGAGCCAG